rnacentral:lncRNA from 1 species
GUCACACUGAGAAUAAACUCCCUUCCUGCCUUCCCCACAGCCAUCUCUUGGAUGGGCCUUUGGGGCAGGUGGCCAGACCUGCACAUUUGAGAGCCCUGCAGCUCAGCCUUUGGCCCAGUUCCGGUAACAAGACCUGCAUUUGGGCAGUCAGCCCAACUGAGCCACUGGGCCUGGGUGUGGCACACAAGCUUUCCACCCGCUGGUGCAGAAUCCCCGGCCAAGCGAAAGCUGCUGCUGGCAUUUCAUUCUGUCAACACACUCAAAUGGACCCCGCUGGGAAGUGCAUUUUGACAGAGUGCUGCCCCUACAGUUGUUAGCUUCUUCCACUUCACACUUGUGGAAAGCAGAGAGGCCUUCGAAGAUGUCCGCCCUAGGAGCUAUGAAUAUGUCACCCCACCUGGAGAAGGGGCCUCACAGAUGAAGGAUCCUGGUAGGGGGAGCUGAUCCCCAAUUGUCUGUGCGCACAAUGGAUUCACAAGGGUCCUCAUGAGGUGAAGAGGGAGACAGGAGGGUCAGAGAGGAGCAGAGAGUUUGAAGGGAGGCCACUGUGGGCCCGGAAGACAAAGGAGCCAUGAACUGCAGAGUACAGGCUCUCAAUAAGCUGGAAAACGCUAAGAAAUGGAUUCCCUUUUAAAAGUUCUAGAAGGAACAGAACCCUGCAAACAUAUUGAUUUUAGGACUUCUGACCGACCUCCAAACUAUAAGGUAAUAGACUAUGUUGUUUUAAGCACUAGAUUGUAAGUGAUACAGCAGCCUCAGGAGACCAACACACCUGUUAGAUUUGCAUCAUGCGUCCCAAUUCUUUACCUGUCUGCUACAGUUUGGAUCCUGAGUGUCCCCCCCAAGGUCCAUGGCUACAGGUUUGCUUCCUGGGGUGAUGCUGUUGGAAGGCGGUGGACCCUUUCGGAGGUAGGGAGGUCUUUAGGUCAUUGGGGGCAUGACCUUUGAAGGGUACAGUAGGACCCCAAUUCUUCUUCCUUUCUUUUGCUUCCCAACCAUGAAAUGAAUAGUUUCGACACGCGCUUCUGCUGUGAUGUGCUGCCUUGACAUAGGACCAAAGGAAUGGGG